rnacentral:rRNA from 1 species
UACAGAGGGUGCAAGCGUUAAUCGGAAUUACUGGGCGUAAAGCGCGCGUAGGCGGUUUUUUAAGUCGGGCGUGAAAGCCCCGGGCUCAACCUGGGAAUUGCAUCCGAUACUGAGUAACUAGAGUAUGAGAGAGGGAGGUAGAAUUCCACGUGUAGCGGUGAAAUGCGUAGAUAUGUGGAGGAAUACCGGUGGCGAAGGCGGCCUCCUGGCUUAAUACUGACGCUGAGGUGCGAAAGCGUGGGGAUCAAACAGG